rnacentral:rRNA from 1 species
UGGGGAAUUUUGGACAAUGGGCGAAAGCCUGAUCCAGCAAUGCCGCGUGUGUGAAGAAGGCCUUCGGGUUGUAAAGCACUUUUGUCCGGAAAGAAAUGGCUCUGGUUAAUACCUGGGGUCGAUGACGGUACCGGAAGAAUAAGGACCGGCUAACUACGUGCCAGCAGCCGCGGUAAUACGUAGGGUCCAAGCGUUAAUCGGAAUUACUGGGCGUAAAGCGUGCGCAGGCGGUUGUGCAAGACCGAUGUGAAAUCCCCGAGCUUAACUUGGGAAUUGCAUUGGUGACUGCACGGCUAGAGUGUGUCAGAGGGGGGUAGAAUUCCACGUNUAGCAGUGAAAAUGCGUAGAGAUGUGGAGGAAAUACCGAUGGGCGAAAGGCAGCCCCCUGGGAUAACACUGACGCUCAUGCACGAAAAGCGUGGGGAGCAAACAGGAUUAGAUACCCUGGUAGUCCACG